GGUCGGAGGGAGGAGACCCUAGAGGCUUUGAGGACGUCGACCGGCCAUUCAACAAACUCGCAGCACGCCGGACAAUGAUUCUGUUUACUGUUCUGCUUUAUCAGCAUGUGGACCAGAACCAGAACUGAUCCAUCAGGCAUUCUGCUGCCGCCCGCACCUCAGACUCCAUUAUGACGGACAGCACCACACAAAUUUUUGACCCACAUGUCAAUAUGUCCUCUGCCAUUGCACGAGUGAUGUUUAGCAAACAACGCUGUAAACUACUGGGUUUGAAUUCCUCCAGUGGAAAAUCUGGAGAGUGCCCGGCAAGUGGGAAGCCUAAUUACCUGCAGCCACCUGAAGGCCAAGAAUAAUAAGUGUGUCUGCA